rnacentral:rRNA from 1 species
UACAGAGACUGCAAGCGUUAUUCGGAUUCACUGGGCGUAAAGGGUGCGCAGGCGGCCGGGUGUGUCAGAUGUGAAAUCCCGAGGCUCAACCUCGGAACUGCGUCUGAAACUACUCGGCUAGAGUACUGGAGAGGGUAACGGAAUUCACGGUGUAGCAGUGAAAUGCGUAGAUAUCGUGAGGAACACCAAUAGCGAAGGCAGCUCGCUGGGACGUUACUGACACUGAGGCGCGAAAGCGUGGGGAGCGAACAGG